CUGGUUUCGACUCUCUCUUUUCUCUCAUAAUAUACGUAUAUGUGUAUGUAUGCGAUGUAUAUCUGUAUCUACAUAUACAUUCUUAUUCUCUCUUUUGUCAAUUUGAGUGAUCACAGAACAAAUUUUUGCAUGGUUAUAGCACAAACCCUGGUCUCUACUCUCCCUCUCUCUUCUCUCAUAAUAUAUGCAUAGGUGUAUGUAUUGAUGUAUAUCUAUAUGUACAUAUGUAUAUAUUCACAUUCUCUCUUUAUGAAUUUGAGUGAUGAUAGAAUAAAUUUUUGCAUCUUCAUAAUAGAAACCCUGGUCUCUACUCUCUGUCUCUCUUCUCUCAUAAUGUAUGCAUAGGUGUAUGUAUUGAUGUAUAUCUAUAUGUACAUAUAUAUAUAUAUUCAUAUUCUCUCUUUAUGAAUCUGAGUGAUGAUAGAAUAAAUUUUUGCAUCUUCAUGAUAAAAACCCUGGUCUCUACUCUCUAUCCAUCUCCCUCUCUCUGUCUCUCUUCUCUCAUAAUAUAUGUAUAGGUGUAUGUAUUGAUGUAUAUCUAUAUGUACACAUGUAUUCACAUUCUCUCUUUAUGAAUUUGAGUGAUGAUAGAAUAAAUUUUUGCAUCUUCAUAAUAAAAACCCUGGUCUCUACUCGCUAUCCAUCUCCCUCUCUCUGUCUCUCUUCUCUCGUAAUAUAUGUAUAGGCGUAUGUAUUGAUGUAUAUCUAUAUGUACAUAUAUAUAUAUAUUCAUAUUCUCUCUUUAUGAAUCUGAGUGAUCAUAGAAUAAAUUUUUGCAUCUUUAUAAUAAAAACCCUGGUCUCAACUAUCUCUCUCUCUCUCUCUUCUCUCAUAAUAUAUGUAUGUGUAUAUGUAUAGGUGUAUGUAAAUGAUAUAUAUCUAUAUGUACAUAUAUAUUCAUACUCUCUCUUUAUGAAUUUGAGUGACCACUGAAUAAAUUUUUGCACGAUUAUAAUAAAAACCCUGGUCUCUACUCCCUCUCUCUCUCUAUUUUAUCUCAUAACAUGUGUAUGUGUCUACACGUACAGGUAUAUGUAUAUGAUGUAUAUAUAAUGUGUACGUAUAUGUGUGUUG
rnacentral:lncRNA from 1 species